GGGGAUGUUCUGGUUUUGACAGCACUGAGACAAGGUAGUAAGCAUGCAGGGGCGUGAGGGUAGCCCCUUGAACACUGCUCUCAAGAAUCAGAUGCUAACAACGGCUACGCACUCGCUGCCUAAUGGACCAAGGAGUUUAGCUUAAUCCGCUCCCCCAGGUGGGAGCCGACGAGUAUCCCUCGGACUUUAUGCCUGUUAUGUUCCGGCUCAGGGGUAUCAUUCAAACGGGCUGCUGCAGCGGACGCCUUUAAAACUGCCUAAGACCUAAAGGAUAAGAUGCGGUCCGCCCGUCUUUCGGCAAGCCUCAUCCGACAAACAAAGGAAGAAUAAGCAUGUAGAAAGCUAUCGGGUACAAUGUUUGGACGGCGGUUCGACUCCGCCCAUCUCCACU
rnacentral:tmRNA from 1 species